rnacentral:rRNA from 1 species
CCUAACACAUGCAAGUCGAACGGUAACAGGAAACAGCUUGCUGUUUCGCUGACGAGUGGCGGACGGGUGAGUAAUGUCUGGGAAACUGCCUGAUGGAGGGGGAUAACUACUGGAAACGGUAGCUAAUACCGCAUAACGUCGCAAGACCAAAGAGGGGGACCUUCGGGCCUCUUGCCAUCAGAUGUGCCCAGAUGGGAUUAGCUAGUAGGUGGGGUAACGGCUCACCUAGGCGACGAUCCCUAGCUGGUCUGAGAGGAUGACCAGCCACACUGGAACUGAGACACGGUCCAGACUCCUACGGGAGGCAGCAGUGGGGAAUAUUGCACAAUGGGCGCAAGCCUGAUGCAGCCAUGCCGCGUGUAUGAAGAAGGCCUUCGGGUUGUAAAGUACUUUCAGCGGGGAGGAAGGGAGUAAAGUUAAUACCUUUGCUCAUUGACGUUACCCGCAGAAGAAGCACCGGCUAACUCCGUGCCAGCAGCCGCGGUAAUACGGAGGGUGCAAGCGUUAAUCGGAAUUACUGGGCGUAAAGCGCACGCAGGCGGUUUGUUAAGUCAGAUGUGAAAUCCCCGGGCUCAACCUGGGAACUGCAUCUGAUACUGGCAAGCUUGAGUCUCGUAGAGGGGGGUAGAAUUCCAGGUGUAGCGGUGAAAUGCGUAGAGAUCUGGAGGAAUACCGGUGGCGAAGGCG